rnacentral:rRNA from 1 species
GACGAACCGUGCGAACGUUAUUCGGAAUCACUGGGCUUAAAGCGCGUGUAGGUGGGUCGCCACGUCGGCUGCUGAAAUCCCUUGGCUCAACCAAGGAACGGGCACCGAUACGAGCGACCUGGAGGGGGGUAGGGGGAGCUGGAACUUCCGGUGGAGCGGUGAAAUGCGUUGAGAUCGGAAGGAACGCCCGUGGCGAAAGCGAGCUCCUGGACCUUUUCUGACACUGAGACGCGAAAGCUAGGGGAGCGAACGGG